rnacentral:tRNA from 1 species
CUGGGCGUGGGCCAGCGGUUGGCCACCUGCCUUGGGAGCAGGCCGACACAGGUUCGAAUCCUGUCACCCAGACCA